AGUUAAAAAGCUCGUAGUUGGAUUUCUGCGCGGGUGGGGCGACCGUGCGUCUAAAGGCGCUACGUGUCAGCAACGCCCGCGCAUCCGGUCGCGAACCACGCUACCAUUCAUUUGGUGGCGUCUUGGGGAUCGACUCGUUUACUUUGAGAAAAUUUGAGUGUUCAAAGCAGGUAACUCGCCUUGAAAUUGCUAGCAUGGAAUAAUGAUAAAGGACUUUGGUUCUAUUUUGUUGGUGUUCGGAACCGAAGUAAUGAUUGAUAGGGACAGUUGGGGCGGUCCGUAUUCCAAAGCGAGAGGUGAAAUUCUUAGACCUUCGGAAGACUAACAGCUGCGAAAGCGUUCGCCAAGGAUGUUCCCUUUGAUCAAGAACGAAAGUUGGGGGAUCGAAGACGAUCAGAUACCGUCGUAGUCUCAACUAUAAACUAUACCAGCUAGGGAUCGGCCAACGUUGAUUCAAUAAGACUUGGUCGGCACCUUAUGAGAAAUCAAAGCAUCUGGGUUCCGGGGGGAGUAUGGUCGCAAGGCUGAAACUUAAAGGAAUUGACGGAAGGGCACCACCAGGCGUGGAGCCUGUGG
rnacentral:rRNA from 1 species